rnacentral:rRNA from 1 species
AUUGAACGCUGGCGGCAUGCCUUACACAUGCAAGUCGAACGGCAGCACGGGUGCUUGCACCUGGUGCCGAGUGGCGAACGGGUGAGUAAUACAUCGGAACGUACCUUAUCGUGGGGGAUAACGCAGCGAAAGUUGCGCUAAUACCGCAUACGCCCUGAGGGGGAAAGCGGGGGACCGUAAGGCCUCGCGCGAUUAGAGCGGCCGAUGUCUGAUUAGCUUGUUGGUGAGGUAAAAGCUCACCAAGGCGAUGAUCAGUAGCUGGUCUGAGAGGACGAUCAGCCACACUGGGACUGAGACACGGCCCAGACUCCUACGGGAGGCAGCAGUGGGGAAUUUUGGACAAUGGGGGCAACCCUGAUCCAGCAAUGCCGCGUGAGUGAAGAAGGCCUGCGGGUGGUAAAGCUCUUUUGUCAGGGAAGAAACAGCAGCUCUAACACAGUCUGCGAAUGACGGUACCUGAAGAAUAAGCACCGGCUAACUACGUG